GCAACAGUAUCUGCAGGUAUGCAAGUAAGGAGUGAGCUAUAUAAAUAUGACCAGUAAGAUCCUCGACCCGCUACUUUAAUACCCCUGGAACAAGUGUUAGAAAAUAUAAAGCACAAUAAAAUACACAAAUAGUAUGUACAUAAUAUCUCUCAUAAGGUAAUGUCAAUAAGAUCCAAAAGGAAGUUCAAAAAAAAAAAGUCACUCAAUAACUUAGCUCAAUCAACUCUCACGGCUUGUCAUAAACGACAGUUAAGGUGACCGGCCUAUUACCCCAACAAGUCCACGACAAUAUAUAUAAUUCCCCAAAAAUCUACUACGACAAUAUUUACAAGCCCCUAACAUAUUACGAUAACAUAAGUAAUGCUCCUAACAUAUUACUGCAGCUAUGUAUGCCCCUAGAGACUAUAACGGCAGCCAAGAAAAUAUGUUCAACGCCCCAACGUCAUCUCACAUAUUACCAUAAUAAGUAAUUCUCCAUACACCUCACAAAUUACAUAUCCACAGUUAGUCAAAUAUCACAGAUUCUACCAAGUUCAAGCUUGUCCUAGCACAUGAACUAGGUAAAAUCAGAUUUGAAAAGCAAGCAUCAAAGCUUAAAGUCCCACUUACAUCGCUAAUAACAAAUUUUUCGACUCUGCAAUGUUUAGAAAAUCAACCAUCAACGACUAAUGGAAUCAAUCUAAACAAAAUAUUAAAUAACAAUAUCAAUUGUGCUAUUCGGGUCAAGUCUCAACAUUCCUAACCUUUAAGUUUAGAGCUAAAUCAUAAUACCUCACGUCUUAACCCACGAACUCAAGAAUAAUCUAACAAGGGAGGCUGCCAAAACAGGAAUAUUAAAAUAUUGGUCAGUAAUUUCAUUACCAUUAAUCUAUAUAUGCAGAAGAAUUGAAAUAACAAUUGUCACACCCCAUUUUUUUUAACCAAAAAGACAUGAUUUUAGAGUUUGAAAAGGGUUUAUUAUUAUUUAAGUGACAAGAGAUGGAAUUUAUUUCGAAAAGGAUUAUUCACAUUUAAACUCAGAGUCGCCACUUGACAUAAAUCGGGUGUGCCAAGUCACCUUUGAAAAUCCUUUUCAAAACAGUUUUACUCUAAAAAUUGAUCCAUGAAUAGAGAUUGCGGCUAAGGAAUUCUGUUGAUCGAGGGGAAGGUGUUAGGCACCCCUCGGUCUCGUGGUUCGACCACAAUUGCUUCGUGGAGUAUAUCGACUAGUAUAACACUAUGAAAUGCAUCAACCACACAAAACACGCAACAAGAAGAACAAACAACCAAACAGUCGAAAAUUCCCAAAAAUAAUGUCUAGUCCAAUUUAUUACAGACCAAAAAUAAAAAUACUAAAAUGAAAGCUAAACUAUCCUAUCUUUGUUUUACCCGAUAUCUCGGGCUUUGAUCACGAUCUUUUUCUGUCAACAUAACACGUUGGGACAUUCCCCGGUGAAUAAAUACAAAUGACCUCGGGCAUUCCCGGCGAAUAAAUACAUUUGAUAGAAAAAGCGAUACAAAUAGGAAAUCAUUUCAAAAAAGCAUUCACCCAUUCGAUAAUAUAGAACCCUAAGGUUUGCCUACCCCAAAACCUAUAAUUUACCUAUCGAUUCAACUUAUCAUAAUUCUAGCACGUUCCACAUCAUCAAUGAAUCAAAAUUAAUCUGAAUUCAUUUUUAUCAAGAGCAAUCUCUCCAUGAAUUCCAUUUUUAACCCACAAAAUUUUCACAUAAAACAAUUAUUCAUCAUAUCAACAUCGAACUUGUACCAUGAUUAAUUAUUCAACAUCAAACAUCCACAAAACACAAAAACAUAAUCAUCAAACACAUAAUCAUAACUUCAAUCCAACAAAUUAAAAUAAAAUAAAAAGAAAGAAUUAAAGAAUUGGACCUUCCAAAUAUUUUUGAUCGAUUUAUGAAAGAAAUAAAGAGCCGUCCCGAGAACCUCAACUCAACUUCAACGACGGACAAAAUAACAAGAUAUCAACGAACAGCAACUGUACAGAUUCAACGAAUAGCUCUGUCGGAGCUCCGUCGACCCAAAUAGUACGAAGAACGUGGGAUUGAUCUAGUUUCGAUCGAAUUUUUGGGGUGUUUUCGCUGGUUUCGGAGUUUCGGUAGUUCGGCAGUGCGGGACGAUGUAUUCCGGUGAGGCUUCGCCGGAAUCCGAGCUAGUUCCGUUCUCUAUUUUCUUUCUCUCUCUCCCGAUCAAUCACUCCGACCAGCUCUUUCUUUCACUCCGUCCAGCUCUCUAUCCUACUGUUUUCUCUACUCUAACUCUAUUGUCUGUGUGUUUGUUCUGUGUGUGUAGUGUGGAGCUCUUUGUGAGUGUGUUGUUUGUGUUGCUAAAAAAUAAAAUAUGAAUUCUCUGUGUGUGUUACUGUGUAGAAGAGAAUGGAGAAGAAUGAUGUGAGUAUGUGUGCGUAGAGUGUGUGUAUAUGUGAAGUGGAGCAGUGUGUAUGCGUCGAUGGUGUGGAAUCCCGUAUAUUGGUGUCUGUAGUAUGCGUUCACUGGGGGUCUAAUUGUGUAGUGGA
rnacentral:lncRNA from 1 species